rnacentral:rRNA from 1 species
CAGCAGCCGCGGGAAUACAGAGGGUGCAAGCGUUAAUCGGAAUUACUGGGCGUAAAGCGCGCGUAGGUGGUUUGUUAAGUUGGAUGUGAAAGCCCCGGGCUCAACCUGGGAACUGCAUCCAAAACUGGCAAGCUAGAGUACGGUAGAGGGUGGUGGAAUUUCCUGUGUAGCGGUGAAAUGCGUAGAUAUAGGAAGGAACACCAGUGGCGAAGGCGACCACCUGGACUGAUACUGACACUGAGGUGCGAAAGCGUGGGGAGCAAACAGGAUUAGAUACCCGGGUAGUCCCUGUCUCUUAUAC